rnacentral:rRNA from 1 species
UACGUAGGUGGCAAGCGUUGUCCGGAAUCAUUGGGCGUAAAGAGCGUGUAGGCGGCCUGGUAAGUCCGCUGUGAAAGUCCAGGGCUCAACCCUGGAAUGCCGGUGGAAACUGUCAGGCUCGAGUCCGGAAGAGGCGAGUGGAAUUCCUGGUGUAGCGGUGGAAUGCGCAGAUAUCAGGAAGAACACCAAUGGCGAAGGCAGCCCCCUGGGCCAACACUGACGCUCAGGCACGAAAGCGUGGGGAGCAAACAGG